rnacentral:rRNA from 1 species
UACAGAGGUCCCAAGCGUUGUUCGGAUUCAUUGGGCGUAAAGGGUGCGUAGGCGGCGCGGUAAGUCGGGUGUGAAAUCUCGGGGCUUAACUCCGAAACUGCAUUCGAUACUGCCGUGCUUGAGGACUGGAGAGGAGACUGGAAUUUACGGUGUAGCGGUGAAAUGCGUAGAUAGUCGAUAAGGAAGACCAGUGGCGAAGGCGGGUCUCUGGACAGUUCCUGACGC